rnacentral:lncRNA from 1 species
GUGGUGAUGACUGACUGAGCUCUGGGGCGGUGGUGGGGGGUGGUGGCUGGUCCUGUACCUGCACCGCACCGUGAGCUCCCAGGAACAUCAGCCAAGAGGAGCCAGUGCAGAGUGGGAGGACUGAGUGACAGCUGAAGGCAAUAGCAACAGACUGAAAAAUUACCCCAGGGCCACCAAGGAGGAGGAGCUGUUCCAGCCCUUCCUUGGGAGCAGCCCUGAGGGAGGGCACGUCCUUCCUUCUUGCCUAAGGACAGGGAAGCAGGCAGGGCCUCUCCUGGGGAAGUGUUCUCAGGCUUUUUAGGGAAACCCCCGUACCUGCCAGUGUGAGCCUCAUGCUUCCUCCUGCGCCGCCUCCCGGAGGGCAAAAGAGAACGGGUCCUGGGCCCGGGCCGGCCACAUGGACUCCUCCGAGGACAGCUCCCAAGGAGAGAACAGCAGAUGCUAUGUCUCCCACCAGCAGCCACGGUGGCCUGUGGGAGCCUGCGGGUCUAACCGUCCAGCUCAGACCUCUCCCAAGGCCACACAUGGGAACUAUCACUACCAUUCCUCAGAGCGGCAAGGACAUUGCCAGUGCAAUACAGCAGGAAGAGGCCGGGCUGGCAGGGACAAAUGGGUCUGACCUCAAAGCCAAGGCCAUUUUGGUCGCAUGAUCUGAGUGGGAGAGCCCAGCAGACACAGACACUGCCCUUCACCCGCUGAAGGACGGGGACAAGCAGGUAUGAGGACCGCACUCCUGCAGCGGCUGCAAGGGUGCUGGACCGACAUUCCAGAGACCCAUGGGUGCCCCUAGACUUCUGCCCGCAGAAGCGAGCACAGCGACGCCUCCUGUGCUUCCCGGCCGGAAAGAGUAAGCGUGCCUUUGUUUUCACUCACUGUGCGACCCCACACUCCCAUCGCCCCUGGGCUGCUAAGAUGCCUGUGUUUUCAACCGACAUCAGUUUGUUCAUAUUUCAUCACCAGGUGUUGGUCCUCCUCACCAGAGACCACAGAACCGUUCCUUCUACCUGAUGAGCAGGGCCUGAGCCCGUCCACCUGCAGCCAGCUGAGGAUGGCCCGGCCUGGCCUUCAGCCGGCUCUUCCCAUGCAGACACAGCCAGCCUCCUCGUCACAUUCAGUCUUCUAUUUCACUUCAUCCAUUCUAAUUCCAAACGUCUUCCCGCGCAGAAGUUUGGGAGAGGCAUCCUGUGAGCAGGUGGCUUCUUCUGGAGAUGCCUCCACCCCACCCAGCCUAGAAUAACAACAGGAACAUCAUCAGAAAGGAACUUGGGGAAUUUCCUCCUGGGCUGACCAUCCCCAGCUGGCGUCCAGCUCUCUGUGGCUGCUCCACUCCACCCACUCUCCAGCGAGGCCUCCAACACCCUGACAGCUCUCCCAGCUCCAUCCAGGGGUGGCCUCCCAAGGCAGGAAGAUCUCACUUCCUCCCCGCGGUGGUGAGAGCAGGACCUGGUCUCGGGACCACUAUGGAAAUAACCUAGUUCCUGCAGGUGCUUCAGCAUCUCUUCCUCGGCAGCCCCUUGCAAAUUACGAUCAAGGUGCAACGCAGGCCCAAGUGUGGCCUGGUUGGUGGUCAUGUCUGCUCUAUCAGUCCUCAGUCCACCUGGUCCCAGGGACAGUCAUGCUCUGGGACUUUUGCCGUGUCACACCUACAAGAGUGACAGAGCCCUCGGCCUCCCUUCAGAAAUCUGGGGUCCCUGAGGUCGGCUUCUCCAUGAUGGGCAAGGCUCCAGCCACUCAUCAGGGUCCUGCCCUCUCUCUCUGGCUGCCAGCUGCUACAUCCAGCUGUGCACAGAUUCAGAGGUUUUGCUGACCAGGACUUGAACUGGGGUUCACAUUACAAGGACACUUGCAAGUCGCUCCGGCAGACAAACUCCAGGACGAACACAGCACGGUUCGUGGAGAUUUAUGUACAUAGGGCAGAGACGGCACCCAGCCGGGUCCAGCUGGACAUGCACACUGCGGACUGGGGAGGCAUCUGGCGUGGGGACGAGGACUCGGGCCUGUCCCCAGACAGUGCGGUGGCUGCCGAUCCCUUGGUUUCUGGUAAUUGCACUUAGUUUCCUGGCAUUCAGGUCUCUGCCCCCUUGGGCCUUCAAAGUGCCAGAGCUGGGACAUGGAUGUGGUUCCAAGUUUGACAAAAUCCCCAUCGUCCCUGCAGAGUCCUUACGGCUUGGGCUGGCCAGGACCCAGCCGUGCGUCCAAAGGCUUCCCCUUAAAGCUAUUGUCAAAUAUACAUAAAUUCUGUUUGCAGUCUCUGGACUUUGAGUAGCUUGUUUCGCUGUUGAAUUUGGUUUGAGUGGGGUUGGGGUUGCCG